GUGGGGAUAUUUAGAGCGGCUACGCCGCUGCGGCGGCCGCGCGAGACAUUUUAUUAAGCGACUUUUAAGAGUACGAGAUUCUCAAUUCAUCUGUAUGUAUUUUUGUGUCUUACAUAACCAUAACACCGUACGUAACAACGAUAAAAGUCAGGACACAUUCUUUAAGGUGAAGAAACGGGACGUCCCGGCUUUUGUGGUAUAGUUGGUAAGCCUGGCGUGUCGUAUGAUCAUCGUAUGAUUUAAGACUGAUGUCCAAGAACAUAAGAGGGAGCGGGUAUGUGAGCAAAUCUUAAAUCGAGAAAGCCGUGUAGGUCCUGGCAUUGAAUCUUUCACCACCCUUUCUCUUUCCAUGAGUGUUUUAAGAAGCGACUAAGGGAGAGCGAGCGAUGGGCAGCAGCGUCCCUCUUAAAAUAUCUCUAAAAGCUGAACUGUGGUUAUCAACUCGCCUACCAAGCGUGGUAGCUACUGGCAAAACUCCUCUUAUUUGGUAAAAAAUAUGUCCAGCAGUGGACAGUGAAAUGAAGAUGAAUUUUAAAAUGAAAAAUUGGUAUGAACGAGUGCAGUAUUCUGAUUUAUACUAGAAGGCAUUGUUAUCACAAAAUGUAGAAAAAGUUUGUUUUUUUUUUAUGCAACUUAGAAUGGCAAACAAGCUGACGGCCCACCUGAUGGAAAGCGGUAACCGUCGCCUAUAGACAUGUGCAGUACCAUGGACAUAACAGAGCAUACUGUUUCGCCCAUGAUACCCCCCAUGCGUUGCCAUUCCUGAGGACUCAGGUGUUAUUCCUCUGUACCCUGUAAAUUCACGCCAUAUCCCACCCUUCAAACCGAAACACAGCCAUGCAAACACAACUGCUUCACGGUUGAAACACGAAUGGGACAUUUCAGGAGCAAUCGACUUUUGUACAAAGUCUCCCUCUGGUGAAAGUAAUACUAAAUCUAUAAUACUAUUAAUAUUCCAUCUAAUUAUUUGCGUACAAUUGACACAUUCGU